UGUGACCACUUCAUGUUGAAACACCAAUUCCCAUAUGAUCACCAAAGUUAAGCAACAUCGAGCCUGAUCAGUACCUAGGUGGGUGACUGUUUGAGAAUACCAGGUGCUGUAAG